ACACCUAAAAGAUUUCAGCUAAUCCUGACCAUUUUGAGCCAAUAUUAGCCCAUUCAACUAUUAAACCAA
rnacentral:tRNA from 1 species